AUCUACUUAAAAAACCUUUGAAUUUGACCAUGCCAGUUAGAGAUGACCAGGWAGAGGUGGUUUGGAAUCGGGUAGACAGUGAUGUGGUUGUAUUAAGUAGUCUUUCUAUGAUGUUGUAAGUAGAGUUUUUUGGAGGUGAUGAAACUCUAGGAAAAAGUGAUUUAGUAAGUAAUACGACAAUUAAUGUGAGACUUUUAAUAUUGGUCUAACUUUGUUUAUAUUUUUUUCGCCAGCUAUAUACAAUCAGAGUAUCAUAUUUGCUAAAGUGUAGUGCAUUUACCUUAAAUUCUGAUCAUGSGAGCUAUAGGAGCCGCUGGUGCAGAGGCAACCAGCGAUCUGUCACUUGCUCCAUAUAUCGUACAACUCUCUCAGUACCAAUCCACAGAUAAUCCCGGCCAAGAAGACCAGUAUCGAGUGACGCCUGGAGGAUUUUUUCGGUAUCUUUUCCAUCGCAAACCAAUACUAUUACUUUGAUAGAAAGACUUUUGAUGCUUUCAAGAAUGUGCAAAAUUUGCGUUUUACUAACAACUCCUUGCGUUUUUGUUAAAUUAAAUAGAAUAAACUGUUGAGAGUGA